rnacentral:misc_RNA from 1 species
AAAGCCGCAUCUGUGCAAACUGCAGGAGAAAUAUAGUCCAUAAUAUCGAUGUGAAUGUCAUUAAGGACAACCACUGUCCGCUCGAGCACAUUUGACGUCUCAUAAACUAUGUUGCCAAAAAUUACACCAGUCUCAGUUGAAGACACCUUGAUAUUGGCCUUUAUUUGCUUGCUUGAUUCUGGAGCAAGUGUAUAAUUCUGUGGACGCUCAACAAGUUUCAGAUCACCCAUUGUUGCCAACUCUAAGCACAAAUUCUGAAGAGUUUCCUUUGU